GCAAGUCGAGCGGGCAUCUUCGGAUGUCAGCGGCAGACGGGUGAGUAACACGUGGGAACGUACCCUUCGGUUCGGAAUAACGCUGGGAAACUAGCGCUAAUACCGGAUACGCCCUUUUGGGGAAAGGUUUACUGCCGAAGGAUCGGCCCGCGUCUGAUUAGCUAGUUGGUGGGGUAACGGCCUACCAAGGCGACGAUCAGUAGCUGGUCUGAGAGGAUGAUCAGCCACACUGGGACUGAGACACGGCCCAGACUCCUACGGGAGGCAGCAGUGGGGAAUAUUGGACAAUGGGCGCAAGCCUGAUCCAGCCAUGCCGCGUGAGUGAUGAAGGCCUUAGGGUUGUAAAGCUCUUUUGUCCGGGACGAUAAUGACGGUACCGGAAGAAUAAGCCCCGGCUAACUUCGUGCCAGCAGCCGCGGUAAUACGAAGGGGGCUAGCGUUGCUCGGAAUCACUGGGCGUAAAGGGCGCGUAGGCGGCCAUUCAAGUCGGGGGUGAAAGCCUGUGGCUCAACCACAGAAUUGCCUUCGAUACUGUUUGGCUUGAGUAUGGUAGAGGUUGGUGGAACUGCGAGUGUAGAGGUGAAAUUCGUAGAUAUUCGCAAGAACACCGGUGGCG
rnacentral:rRNA from 1 species